GACAGAGGGUGCAAACGUUGUUCGGAUUUACUGGGCGUAAAGCGCGCGCAGGUGGUUUCUUAAGUCUGAUGUGAAAGCCCACGGCUCAACCGUGGAGGGUCAUUGGAAACUGGGAGACUUGAGUGCAGAAGAGGAAAGUGGAAUUCCAUGUGUAGCGGUGAAAUGCGUAGAGAAUAUGGAGGAACACCAGUGGCGAAGGCGGACUUUCUGGUCUGUAACUUGACACUGAGGCGCGAAAA
rnacentral:rRNA from 1 species